UGUUAGGUUUGGCAGAACGCAGAAAAUUGCCACCUUCUGACCAUUUUGCCAUUUGACUGAAAUUAUGGCAAACCUUUUUCUUGCAUCCUUUGAGCGUAACUCAGUGCGGAUGAACACUUUUGAAUAAAAACCCUUUGUUUUGUGCUCUUUUCCUUUUUUGGUGGGAUUUGGUUAUAAAUCCAUUGAGAGUUUUCCUUCAGCAGUUUGAGUUUCUUCAAAGACUUAUUGACCAAAAUGCCCCUGUUAGGCCCACUGUGACAUGAUCGCCCAGUUGACUCUCCGCAAAGGUAAGGGACAAAGCGAGUUUGGACAGUUUUGUCUUCUCUUAUAUAGACUCUUUUGACCUCAGAAUCUGAUAGGCCCAUGCAGCUUGCGUGAGCUCAGUGGAAGUAAAUCAAUUCUGAGAAGGUAAAUCAUCUCCUUGCCUUUCAGCUUGGAGUGAAUGAUUGGCAGGAGGAAACGGUGGUGAACUAAGAGGCCUGGCUGAGCAGCAGCAAGCCAUUAACAUGCCAGACACCAGGAAUUUAUCUUUAGUGCAGAUGCCACAAAUCGUACCCCUUCUCCAGUGCCCAAGAUGUUUUCACAAAUUAUGAAUCUGGCACUGGGCUGACUGAGUUGUGCAUUUCUCUACAUCAUCUUCCUUCUCCAUAUAGCUUAACAGGGCUUUUCCUAGCACAUUCUGUGUAGACCCAAAGGUAAGACUCUAGAGGCUGUUGGGAGAAGUGUACAUUAUUGGUACUUCUCUGCAACUUACUUAUUUAGCGUAACGUUUGGGGUAAGCGUGUGUUGCAUCCUUUGGAAUAAGGUUUUCUCUGCUUUGCCCCCUUAUAUAGCUGCACCCAAAUCAGGAGAAGGGGACAAUAUGACUAGGAGAACAUGCCUCCCCUUUUUGCUUUGUUUUUGGCUGAACUUUAUAGAAGCUUUGAAGAGGAAAAGCAUGAAAUUUGCCACAGCAUGUGAGAAAUGUCAACAUCUCUAAGUGCUACUAAAGGUUUGUUCAUUGCCCACUGAGUCAAUUCUUCCAGCACAGCUACUUCAUCCAUUAAGCAAGGUGUAGAUAACCUGCAGCCCUCCAGAUGUUGUGGGAUGUUGACUCCCAUCAUCUCUGGCAAUUGGUCAUUCUGCCUGGUGCUGAUGGGAGUUGGAGUCGCAUCACAUCUGGAGGGUCACAACGUUAGCAUUUCUUGUUAAACCUGCAUUUUUUAUUCCUCAGUUCUGUGGAGGUCUCAUUUAUUUACAUUUGGUUUUAUCUAUCUUGAAGGAUCGUUUUGGUUGCACAUUUUUCAAACAUAUCCUGCUAGGUGUAUGUAUCUUUUAAGACAGCCAACUGUCCUGAUUUUUCUGUUUAAUUCAAUAUUUAUAUUGCCAUUACUUUGAAAAAUUCUGCUGCAGCAAACUCUCCGAUGCUCAGCUUUAUUAAAGGAUGCUAAUUCUCUUUCAUGUGUUUCAAUUAGGUUUCUUUUUCUCAUGAUAUCUCAAUCCGGUUAGCUUUUUAUUGCUCAGAUCUCUAAAUUUGACAUAGGAAAUAAUUUCAACAUGACUAUACACCUUUUCUGAAAUUCAACUUUGUAUGUGAUGUGUUGCUUUUAGCUACAAGACAAGUGUGAGCCACUGGUUCAGACAGUGGUUUUACUAUGCCUUAAAAAUGAAAUACACAUUUUAGUGUGUAUAUUCAGUCUGAAUAUAAUAAACAUAUCAUGUUUGGUUGAGGCACCGUUGUUUGAGGAGCUACAACUGUCUUUCCAUAAUUAUUUCAUCUUAAGAAAAGAGCCAUACAGGAGAGACUCAAUUCUCAUGCGUAAAGUAAGGUUGUAUCCAGAAUAUGAGGUUGUAGUCCACUUAUUCCAGAAAAGUUCUGUUCAAGUAAUAUUAAAGUCAGUGAAAUCUGGGCAUGACUUGCUUGACCGUUUUGAGAGGAGUUGGGUCUGCAGAAAGCAUAUCCACACACAGUUUAGUGUCAUUAUAUAGCUGAGUUAGUAAGUGGCCCGAGACCUAGGUGUACCUGGGUAGAUUCAGAGGUUUCCUAUUACUGUUCUUGUUUAAACAAGACAAUAACAUGUGAUUAUUUAAACAGUGAAUGGGAGCAUGGGCACAGACAUAAGUCCUGCCUGGUGCAUAUUGCCCUGACCUUCCUCAUGAUGUGUGGAGAAGGUCUAAAGAGGGUGCUUACUCAUGUUUGCUUAAAUACAAGUAGAACCUUCCACAUAAUUGGGGACCCUGAUAAAGUAUGGUCCUUGAUCAUGCAGAAGUUUCCAUACAUAUUGAAGGAAAAGCUCCCUUCAGACCUUCCCAUUCAAUACAAGAAAUGUGGGGACCUGUUGGGUAAGGCUGUUGAAUGUUGGGGGCAGGACCUCUCUGAACAGCCCAACACCUCCUUCGCUUGAGGAAGUUUCCUGUUAAGGUGUAAUACUGACCUCGUCUAUGAUAUCUUGGUUAUACCACUGCUUUGUUCCAGGUGUGCUGCAUGGGGAAGAAGAGGUAUCCUAACAACCACCAGAGCAAUCAAAACUGAAAAACGAGAGGUUUACACAAGCGCCACAGAUGGAUGCUAGAUCUUUUCACAAUUUGGUCAGUUGAACCAAGAAAGGUGGGUAGGGCUGGGUACCUGGGCAGAGUUCAUAAAAAUCCACCAGAUCAUGAGCCACAUUUUCCAAGCUAUCGUUUUAUCUUUAAAAGCAAUGCUUCCCACAAUAUAUGUUGCAUGAACAGAUUUCUUAAAAUGCAAAUUGAAAGGAAAUGGGUGUGAUUUGCAUCACUUCUGAAUGUAACCUGCAAUUUACUGACCAGUUUGAUUGGGGAAAUAGAUUCCUUGAUCCACUCCUCCCUACUUGCAUAUCUGCCUCCCUGAACUCAACCUCAUAGAAACAUUUUAAUGGAUUGUGAGCAUCUGAAUCCUGAAAAAUGGGAGGGAAAUUACUUUUCCAGUAUAAGAACAAGUAUUCAUUUGUGUGCUUCUAUUCUGAAAGAGUAGACUAUUCAUGUAUAUUUAGGCAACAUCUACUGGUUAGUCUGAAGCAACUAUUCAGCAUUUGUUUGUAUUGAGAAUAAUGGCAUUUUUUUCACUCUCCACUUCUUUUUAUUCUAGUGUAUAUGCUUGUCUUUAGUCCAAUCAUCUCCCAAGGAGUGCAUAUUUUAACCGAAAAUGUUAAGAAUACGAAAGAUUUCUUUGACGGAACAAAAAAGCUGUUUGCUUAUACCUUACAAAUGAGAUAAGAUAAUACAAGAAAGAAAAAGAAAGAGAUCAUGCUGUUUUAAUGGCAAGUUCCAACAGCAAAAUAAAAUGGUUGGAGGUUCGUGAAAGCUCCCCUUGAGCAAUAUUUAUAGGGAUCAAACGAACAUCAAGAAGUACGUCUGUCUCAGCAAGGGAUAUAUUAUUCUUCCAAAUAUCACAAAGUGUAAUGGAUACAUUUGGAAAGAUGAAGCAUUCAUGACUGAAGGAAUAACGUAAGAUGCUGGGUAUGUGUUUUAUAGCAGAGGAUAUAUCCUUAUAAUGAAUGUCACCGCCCCCCCAUAGUGUCAUUGUAGUAGAAGCUGUCAUAUGUGCAUUUCUUUUCUUGCAUAGAACUUUUUGCAGUUCAAUGUACUAACCCAUAAAGCUCUUUGUCCACCUGGUGGUUUCAAUGACAUCUUUUCAGCACCAGGUAAAGACUUCAUUUUUCCUGUAGGCUCUUGAUGGACUGAGGUGAUGUUGCUGGAAUUAGUGUUCUGCCAAAGCUUCCUGUGGCUGUUUUGUGUGUGUGUGUGUGCAUUUAUAAUUUUAUAUGAAUGGUAGGUGUUUUGUAUGUUUUUUUAAGGGUAUAGUCAGGACUUUUUUCCAACCGGAACUCACUUCCAGCACUUCUCAGGUGGGCACCAUUGCCAUUCUAAGAAAACAAGGGAGCUGUUCAUGGCGAGUUCCAGCACCUGUUUUUCUAGGAAAAUAGCACUGGGUAACAGACUUCUAACAAGUCUAAAUAAGUACUACUACCACUACUACUACAAAUCUUAUGACAAUCCCAGAUACUAGAUCACAAGGAAAUUUAUCAUCUCUAGUGCUGUUUUUCUAAGGAAUCAGCAGACAAGAGAACAGGUGAGCCAAGGGAAUCAGGUCCUUAGACCCUGAAGGAUGAUUUGGGCCUCCAGUUAAACAGACAUUCAGGUUAAGAACCAGUUUAGGUCCUGGAUGAUUUUCUAGGAUUAGCCUAGGAUGGGCAUAUAUCCUACUUUACAGUGGGGCAAUCCUCUGUUUGAAGGUGUGUCUCAUUCAAGUUCAGAUUAAAGAUAAACAAGGGAGAUCAAAUAGGCCUUAAAGUUGCCCAUCAACAGAUAGCCCUCAGGCAGAGGGCUAUGUGAGCACACUUCGUGGUCAUUGUCUUCUGAGGUAAAAAUAUAGAAAUGUAUUUCUAAAUAUGCAUUUAUACAUAUAAAUUAGCACUUGCAAAUCUGUGCCCUCUUUUGAUAUUCUCUUUAGGCACUGUGGAGCGGCCAUUCUUCGUCCCUCCUUCCAAAUGCCAACACGAUGGCUGUUUUAAGAAUGAGGUUGCACUUCAUGUUCACUAGAUCCAUAGCCCUGACCUCCAGGAAUAUUUAAAACUCAAGUUUCCUUACUGGCCUUCACACUGUGUCAGGUUGUUCAGCAGGGUGAAGCAACCCACUUCAAGGGACACCAUGAUGGUGGAACAGGAAAGGUGAAAGCAGGAAUUGGUGUAUAAAUGGUGACAGCAAGGCUUGUUUAAAGUGUUGAAGUUAGUGGAGGAGGGGAGUGCCAUUUGGGCCCUGUUUAGGCUGACAUGCCAAAGCCAUUAUUUAUUGUGGGGUGUCAUGAACUGGCAGGACAACAGGGAGGAGGAAGAGGAUCCGAGUGAGGGGUGUAGCUGGGACUAGGACACACUGGGGCAAGCUAAGGAUGGAGAACAAGAGGCGUAGAAAAUAUGGGGCGACGGAGGAUAGUGAAGGGAUGGGGGCCACUGCACAGGAACCAGAGCAGCAGGACCCAUCACCAGAGCCAGAGGAGCCCCUGUCUUCCCGAACACGACAGACUCUGAGGCAUGAGGAACACUCUAGGAGGCCGAGGCAGGCAAAGGGCCCACAGCCCAGCUUCCUAGUUGGCCAGGUGGGGCUCGCUAGCUCUGAGAGGAGGUGUGUGAUUCCUCAGCUGAAGUAGGCUGAGGACAGGUGAGUCUCACAUGGCUCAUCAAGCCCAGAUGCUGCAAUCAGCAUGCAAAGUACAAAAGGGAAGCAGAGCUGAAUUGCUGUGUCUGCUUGAUUGUCUGUGCUGAUGAAUCUUGGCUUGGCUGCUCCUUGAACUCCAUGGUUUGACUCUGGGCUGUAUUCUGAAUGCUGGACUUUGGACGUGGCUCCUUGGAUCAACCCUAGACUGUGUUUACUGACCUUUGGAGUUUGUUUGUGUGGAUUGACCUGCAGACCUUGAACUUUGGAUUGGUGUGCUGACCUGCUGCCAGGUAGGCCAGGGGUUCAGGACAUGAAGACAUGGCAAAAGCAACAGUUCCCUAUUAAGGUGCUUUACAAAUAGGGUUCAUAUCUUGAUAAAAGAGCUGUGGGUCCCAGCACAAAAUGGCUGCCAAUGGCAACAAAAAUAGAAAAAAGAAAAAUGUGAUGGUACCUGAGACCAGCGAUUACCAUCACAAAGAAACCACUGGUAGCUUCCAACGUGCUGUAAAUGUCUGUGUCGAGUGCAUGUUGAUUGUCACUUUAAAAAAAAAGAAUUGCAGUGAUUCAGCGACAAUUUUUAAAACAUUAACUCAUUUCUGUAUCUGAAAAGACAGAACCUCUUGCAUUAAAGUGUGAUUAGAACUGUAAGCAUAAUUGAAAUAUGGUGUGUUGCACUGAUUUUUAAAAACAGCUUUAUAACAUUUACAUACCUAUCUUUACACAGCAGUUCAGAACAUUGUUAGCCACUUAGUCUGCAAACUAAAGCACAUUUAUCUAGGAGUCGGAACCAUUGAUCACAGUGGCACUUACGUCUGAGUAAGCAGCAUGAAAUGGCACUAUCAGCCUGUUCCACUGUGGCAUGGCUAUCAAUGAGCAGCCAGGAAUGACUUCGGUGGCAGAUUCCUAAAUGCUAUCAAUUCAUUCAAUUUAAUAUUAUUUUCCUAUGUACUUGGAAUAAUUUCCCCUUCAUCUGUUUCUUUGUACCUGUCUCUUUUGCCUUUUGCUUUGGCAGAGUUUACUCUAAUUU